rnacentral:rRNA from 1 species
GUAUUCUAGAAAGGGAUACGUUCUUCGGACAAUAUACAAGGUGCUGCAUGGUUGUCGUCAGCUCGUGCCGUGAGAUGUUGGGUUAAGUCCCGUAACGAGCGCAACCCUUGUCCUUAGUUACCAGCACGUUAUGGUGGGCACUCUAAGGAGACUGCCGGUGACAAACCGGAGGAAGGUGGGGAUGACGUCAAGUCAUCAUGGCCCUUACGGCCUGGGCUACACACGUGCUACAAUGGUCGGUACAAAGGGUUGCCGAGCCGCGAGGUGGAGCUAAUCCCAUAAAACCGAUCGUAGUCCGGAUCGCAGUCUGCAACUCGACUGCGUGAAGUCGGAAUCGCUAGUAAUCGUGAAAUCAGAAUGUCACGGUGAAUACGUUCCCGGGCCUU